rnacentral:lncRNA from 1 species
AUGGGGACAAUAACUCGUACUCUUCUCCCUGCAUUUGAGCUUCUACUGUUUUCUAUCGAGUCUAUUACCCAAUUCAGAGGCUGACACUCGUAUAUAAAGAGAGUCCCCACCUUCAGCAAAUGUUCUGAUAUCAAUUAGGCCACCAAACCAUAGCAGGCAACCACUCCCACUCCCUGAGAUGUUCAAAGUUGUGUAAGCAGUACAUGAACAAUUGGUUUUACACAUCUUAUCACACUCUACAAGGGUCAUCGUCUGGUUAUACCAUGAACCCUGAGUGUCGGGUA